rnacentral:lncRNA from 1 species
UGCACUAAUCCAACAAUUUUACAUGAAAAAAAAUCAAAAGAAAUAGAAAGAAUAAAAUGAAGUUAGAGAUAGAGUGGUUAUGGGGGGUGGUGAAGGGGCUGUGGCUGGACUACACUACUGGGAGCCGCCUGUACCACGGCGGCCGGCGAAGGAGAAGAAGCAGGGCGCAGCCCAGAUCUGGAAGAGGCGCGAUGGCGCCACUGCCGUGUGUUGUUGUCCGGCCCGGAGAAGGAGGCCGAGAGGGCGUGACAGAGUGAGAUGUGGAGAGUGAGAAGGAGGCCAAGAGGGCGUGACAGCGUGAGAUGUGGAGUGUGAGAGGGAGACUAGAGGUGAGGAAAGGGAGAGAGGGCGGCGGCGGCAGGAAUGGGAGGCGGCUGGGCGCGCCUCUGUCGACACAGGGACGGCGGUGGUGGCGUUGCGGUCGGCCAGGAGAGGAAGGAGGAGGAGUCGCCGGCCUCCGGCGACGGUGUGCCGGCGAUGGCGGCUGGAGGCCGAGGGAGAGGGAGAGAAAGGGGAUGUGAGUUGUGUGUGUGAU